GAUGGACGCUGGCGGCGUGCCUAAUACAUGCAAGUCGAGCGAACGGACGAGAAGCUUGCUUCUCUGAUGUUAGCGGCGGACGGGUGAGUAACACGUGGAUAACCUACCUAUAAGACUGGGAUAACUUCGGGAAACCGGAGCUAAUACCGGAUGAUAUUUUGAACCGCAUGGUUCAAAAGUGAAAGACGGUCUUGCUGUCACUUAUAGAUGGAUCCGCGCUGCAUUAGCUAGUUGGUAAGGUAACGGCUUACCAAGGCAACGAUGCAUAGCCGACCUGAGAGGGUGAUCGGCCACACUGGAACUGAGACACGGUCCAGACUCCUACGGGAGGCAGCAGUAGGGAAUCUUCCGCAAUGGGCGAAAGCCUGACGGGGCAACGCCGCGUGAGUGAUGAAGGUCUUCGGAUCGUAAAACUCUGUUAUUAGGGAAGAACAUAUGUGUAAGUAACUGUGCACAUCUUGACGGUACCUAAUCAGAAAGCCACGGCUAACUACGUG
rnacentral:rRNA from 1 species